rnacentral:rRNA from 1 species
UAAGGAAUAUUGGUCAAUGGACGCAAGUCUGAACCAGCCAUGCCGCGUGAAGGAUUAAGGUCCUCUGGAUUGUAAACUUCUUUUUAUCUGGGACGAAAGAAGGCGAUUCUUCGUCACUUGACGGUACCAGAUGAAUAAGCACCGGCUAACUCCGUGCCAGCAGCCGCGGUAAUACGGAGGGUGCAAGCGUUAUCCGGAUUCACUGGGUUUAAAGGGUGCGUAGGCGGGCAGGUAAGUCAGUGGUGAAAUCCUAGAGCUUAACUCUAGAACUGCCAUUGAUACUAUCUGUCUUGAAUAUUGUGGAGGUAAGCGGAAUAUGUCAUGUAGCGGUGAAAUGCUUAGAUAUGACAUAGAACACCUAUUGCGAAGGCAGCUUACUACGCAUAUAUUGACGCUGAGGCACGAAAGCGUGGGGAUCAAACAGGAUUAGAUACCCUGGUAGUCCACGCCCUAAACGAUGAUUACUCGACAUUUGUGAUACACUAUAAGUGUCUGAGCGAAAGCAUUAAGUAAUCCACCUGGGAAGUACGACCGCAAGGUUGAAACUUAAAGGAAUUGACGGGGUCAUAGCUGUUUCCUG